UACGUAGGGUGCGAGCGUUGUCCGGAAUUAUUGGGCGUAAAGGGCUCGUAGGCGGUUUGUCGCGUCGGGAGUGAAAACACUGGGCUUAACUCAGUGCUUGCUUCCGAUACGGGCAGACUAGAGGUAUUCAGGGGAGAACGGAAUUCCUGGUGUAGCGGUGGAAUGCGCAGAUAUCAGGAGGAACACCUAUAGCGAAGGCAGCUUGCUGGGACGUUACUGACGCUAAGGCGCGAAAGCGUGGGGAGCGAACAGG
rnacentral:rRNA from 1 species